rnacentral:rRNA from 1 species
AUGAACGCUAGCGACAGGCUUAACACAUGCAAGUCGAGGGGCAGCACAGGUAGCAAUACCGGGUGGCGACCGGCGCACGGGUGAGUAACGCGUAUGCAACUUACCUAUCAGAGGGGGAUAACCCGGCGAAAGUCGGACUAAUACCGCAUGAAGCAGGGGUCCCGCAUGGGGAUAUUUGCUAAAGAUUCAUCGCUGAUAGAUAGGCAUGCGUUCCAUUAGGCAGUUGGCGGGGUAACGGCCCACCAAACCGACGAUGGAUAGGGGUUCUGAGAGGAAGGUCCCCCACAUUGGUACUGAGACACGGACCAAACUCCUACGGGAGGCAGCAGUGAGGAAUAUUGGUCAAUGGGCGUAAGCCUGAACCAGCCAAGUCGCGUGAGGGAUGAAGGUUCUAUGGAUCGUAAACCUCUUUUAUAAGGGAAUAAAGUGCGGGACGUGUCCCGUUUUGUAUGUACCUUAUGAAUAAGGAUCGGCUAACUCCGUGCCAGCAGCCGCGGUAAUACGGAGGAUCCGAGCGUUAUCCGGAUUUAUUGGGUUUAAAGGGUGCGUAGGCGGCCUUUUAAGUCAGCGGUGAAAGUCUGUGGCUCAACCAUAGAAUUGCCGUUGAAACUGGGGGGCUUGAGUAUGUUUGAGGCAGGCGGAAUGCGUGGUGUAGCGGUGAAAUGCUUAGAUAUCACGCAGAACCCCGAUUGCGAAGGCAGCCUGCCAAGCCAUGACUGACGCUGAUGCACGAAAGCGUGGGGAUCAAACAGGAUUAGAUACCCUGGUAGUCCACGCAGUAAACGAUGAUCACUAGCUGUUUGCGAUACAGUGUAAGCGGCACAGCGAAAGCGUUAAGUGAUCCACCUGGGGAGUACGCCGGCAACGGUGAAACUCAAAGGAAUUGACGGGGGCCCGCACAAGCGGAGGAACAUGUGGUUUAAUUCGAUGAUACGCGAGGAACCUUACCCGGGUUUGAACGCAUUCGGACCGAGGUGGAAACACCUUUUCUAGCAAUAGCCGUUUGCGAGGUGCUGCAUGGUUGUCGUCAGCUCGUGCCGUGAGGUGUCGGCUUAAGUGCCAUAACGAGCGCAACCCUUGCCACUAGUUACUAACAGGUAAAGCUGAGGACUCUGGUGGGACUGCCAGCGUAAGCUGCGAGGAAGGCGGGGAUGACGUCAAAUCAGCACGGCCCUUACAUCCGGGGCGACACACGUGUUACAAUGGCGUGGACAAAGGGAAGCCACCUGGCGACAGGGAGCGAAUCCCCAAACCACGUCUCAGUUCGGAUCGGAGUCUGCAACCCGACUCCGUGAAGCUGGAUUCGCUAGUAAUCGCGCAUCAGCCAUGGCGCGGUGAAUACGUUCCCGGGCCUUGUACACACCGCCCGUCAAGCCAUGGGAGCCGGGGGUACCUGAAGUCCGUAACCGAAAGGAUCGGCCUAGGGUAAAACUGGUGACUGGGGCU